rnacentral:lncRNA from 1 species
AAAAAAAUUGGGGAACCAAAUCAGAUCAGAUUGGAAGAUACACCUGUCAGAGUAAUGACCUGACAGAUUUGGAAGAGCAGCCCUAGGUGCAAAGAGCAGGAUUGUGGAGGUCACUGCAGCAUGAGCCUGGGAUGCCUCAGCCUUAAAUGGGAUCAUCCGAGCUUGGAAUGGGGCUGUGUGUUCCUCCUCCUCAUAGCUGUUGACAUAAAGGAAAAGCAGGUUUGAAGAUGCCCUCAGCUGGACACCAGCCAGGAGAUUUCCAGCGCUGCUGCCCAGGUUCUGUGUGCAGGCAGAUGUUCUGCCUCAGCUGCUGCUGAUCCAGGUUACCCUUCCUGUCCAUCACAGGCACUUCACUCAUGCCCUAAAACCUCCAGAUAGAAGGAGGUUAUGUCAAAAGAUGUGGCAAAUCUGAGGAAGUGGAAGGGAAAAGGGAUUGGUGACACAAUCUCUGCAGGAAUGUGAUGGGUCACAA